AUUGAACGCUGGCGGCAUGCCUUACACAUGCAAGUCGAACGGUAACGGGCCUUCGGGUGCCGACGAGUGGCGAACGGGUGAGUAAUGCAUCGGAACGUACCCAUCAGUGGGGGAUAACUCUCCGAAAGGAGGGCUAAUACCGCAUAUUCUGUGCGCAGGAAAGCGGGGGACCGCAAGGCCUCGCGCUGAUGGAGCGGCCGAUGUCAGAUUAGCUAGUUGGUGGGGUAAAGGCCUACCAAGGCGACGAUCUGUAGCGGGUCUGAGAGGAUGAUCCGCCACACUGGGACUGAGACACGGCCCAGACUCCUACGGGAGGCAGCAGUGGGGAAUUUUGGACAAUGGGGGCAACCCUGAUCCAGCCAUGCCGCGUGAGUGAAGAAGGCCUUCGGGUUGUAAAGCUCUUUCGGCCGGGAAGAAAUCGCAUCUCCUAAUACGGGGUGUGGAUGACGGUACCGGAAUAAGAAGCACCGGCUAACUACGUGCCAGCCGCCGCUGUAACAC
rnacentral:rRNA from 1 species